rnacentral:rRNA from 1 species
AUUCUUUACAUGUGUAUAAAAAAUCAAGUGAAAAUUUGAAGAAAUAAAUUUUUUAUGAUCCAUUCAUCUACUCAAUCAUUAUGAUACUUUUUCCUACCAAUAAUGAUUUUGCAAAUAAGACUGGGUCCCAAAUUGUAGUAUGGAGAAGCGUCCUCAGCGACAGACCAGGGUCCAAGUAUCUUGGAAGGGGCAGCUGGAGAUGGUGAGAGCCUUGUCCUGCCUGUACCUUGUCGCACCACGAGACGUUGUUAACGAGUUCAGUUUUAGGCGAAUGCAGCCCAAAUAAGGUGGUAAAUUUCGUCUAAAGCUAAAUACGGGUGAAAGACCGAUAGUGACCAAGUACCAUGAGGAAAAGAUGAAAAGGGCUUGAAAAGAUAGUCAAAGAGUGCUUGAAAUUAUCAGGAGGGAAGUGGAUAGGGGCCGGUGGUGUGCCUCAGUUGGAUGUAGAACAGCAAGAGCCAGUUUAUCGAUCGACUGGGGGUGCGGAUCGACGCGGAUCGGGAUGGUAGCCCAAGUUCGGGCUCUUAAUAUGCCUGUAGAGAUGUCGUCGCCUCAAUUGUGGAUGGUAACGUGCGCCUCACUGUGCACUUCAACAUCUGCGCACUCUUGGCAUCGGCCUAUGGGCUCCCCAUUCGAACUGUCUUGAAACACAGACCAAGGAGUUUGACAUGUGUGCGAGUCAACGGGUGAGUAAACCCGUAAGGGGCAAGGAAAUUGAUUGGCGAGAUCCUUCGUGGGUGCAUCGCCGACCGACCUUGAUCUUCUGAGAAGGGUUCGAGUAUGAGCAGGCCUGUCAUGACCCAAAAGAUGGUGAACUAUGCCUGAGUGGGGCGAAGCUAGAGGAAACUCUGAUGGAGGCCCACAGCGAUACGGACGUGUAAAUCAUUCGUCUGGCUUGGGUAUAUGGACGAAAAACUAAUUGAAUCGUCUAAUAAUUGGUUCCCUUUGAAGUUUCCCUCAGGAUAGCUAGAGCUUAGAUGCGAGUUCUGUCAGGUAAAGCCAAUGAUUAGAGGCAUCGGGGGUGCAACACCCUCGAUCUAUUCUCAAACUUUAGAUAGGUAGGACAGGACAACUACUUCAUUUAGCCGUCCCACAGAAUCGAGAGCUCUAAGUGGGUCAUUUUUUGUAAACAGAAUUGGCAAUAUAGGAUGAAUUGAAAGCUGGGUUACGGUGCCCAACUGCACGCUAACCCAGAACCCACAGAGGGUAUUGGUCGAUUGAGAUAGUAGGACGAUAGUCAUGGAAGUCGAAAUCUAUUAAGGAGUGUGUAACAACUCAAUUACUGAAUUAACUAGUGUAAAAAAUGGAUGGUGCUUGAGCGUGCGACCUAUACCCAGCUAUCAGGAUAAAGGCUAGGCCCCGAUGAGUAGGAAGGUGUGUUGGUUGCUAUAAAAUCUUGGGCACAAGCCCGGGUAGAGCGGUUGCAGGUGCAGAUGUUAGUGGUAGUAGUAAAUAUUCAAAUGAGAACUUUAAAGGCCGAAGAGGAGAAAGGUUCCAUGUGAAUGACACUUGCACAUGGGUUAGUCGAUCCUAAGAGACAGGGGGAAGCCUGUUCGAUAGCGCCUCAGCACAAGCUCCGAAAGGAGAUCCAGUUAAAAUUUUAGAACCAGGACAUGACAGCUGACGGCAAUGUUAGGUAGUCCGGAGACGUCAGUGGGGGCCUCGAAAAGAGUUAUGUUUUUUGUUUAACAGACUACCCACCCUGGAAACGGCUCAGUCAAAGAUAGGGUUUAGAGGUUAGAAGAGCAUCACAUAUCGCAUGGUGUUCAGUGCGCCCCCGGCAAACCUUGAAAAUCAAGAGGACUAAGUGCUUCCCAUGCCUGGUCAUACUCAUAACCACAUUAAGUCUUCAAGGUUAACAAUCUCUUGUUGAUGGAAUAAUAUAGGUAAGGAAAGUUGGCAAAAUGGAUUUGUAACCUUGGAAAAAGGGUUGGCAUUAAGGACUGGGCAUGGAGUUCCCAGCCACGAACUCGUCAACUGUCGAUGGACAGCUCAUGCUACUCCCGUAGCGAGAGUAGGUCAUCACAUGCUGAGCGGGGGACAUACUGGGAAUGGCUCCCUCGCAGGGGCAAGGCCCCCGGGCGUCAAACAGUCGACUUAGAAUUUGUACCGACAAGGAAAAUCUGACUGUUUAAUUAAAACAAAGAUAUAUGAUGGUCCCUUGUUGAUGCUCACGCAAUGUGAUUUCUACCCAGUGCUUUGAAUGUCAAAGUGAAGAAAUUCAACUAAGCGCGGAUAAACGACGAGAGUAACUGUGACUCUCUUAAGGUAGCGAAAUGCCUCGUAAUCUAAUUAGUGACGCGUAUGAAUGGAUUAAUGAGAUUCCUACUGUCCCUGUCUACUAUCCAGUGAAACUACAGCCAAGGGAACAGGCUUGGGAGAAUUAGCAGGGAAAAAAGACUCUGUUGAGCUUGACUCUAGUCCGACUUUGUAAAAUAACUUGAGAGGUGUAGGAUAAGUGGGAGCUGGAAACGGUAAAAGUUAAAUACUACUAUUUUUAAUGUUAUUUUACUUAUUUCGUGAAUUGGAGGCGAGACAACAUCUCUUUUUUUAGAUCUAAGGCCCGUUUCGCGGGUCAAUCCGGGUGGAAGACAUUGUCAAGUGGGGAGUUUAUCUAGAGCGUUACAUCUAUUAAAAGAUAACAUAGGUGUCUUAAGAUGAGCUCAAUGAGAAUAGAAAUCUCAUGUGCAAAAAAAGGGUAAAAGCUUAUUUGAUUCUGAUUUUCAGUACGAAUAUGAAUCGUGAAAGCUUGGCCUGUUGAUCAUUUAAACCUUCGAAAUUUAAAGGUAAAGGUGCUAGAAAAGUUACCACAGGGAUAAUUGGCUUGUGGCAGCCAAACGUUCAAAGCGACAUUGCUUUUUUAUCAUUCGAUGUCGGCAAUUCCUAUCAUUGUGAAGCAAAAUUCACAAAGUGUUGGAUUUUUCACCCACCAAUAGGGAAUGUGAGUUGGGUUUAGAUCGUCGUGAGACAGAUUAGUUUCACCUUACAGACGCCCGUGUCGCGAUAGUAAUUCAACCUAGUAUGAGAGAAACCGUUGAUUCGCACAAUUGGUCAUCGCACUUAGUUCAAAAGCCAAUGGUGUGAAGUUAUCGUUCCCUGGAUUAUGACUGAAUGCCUUUAAGUCCGAAUUUGGGCUAGAAGCAAUGGACGUGUCUGCUACCUGAUUGCCAACCCUCAGUAAGGGUCUCCCGGCCCCAAAAGGCACGUGUCAUUGGCCAAACCCGUUUGCUGAAAGUGUUGCACGGGCUGCCUUGAAGUACGAUUCU